GACACGGCCCAGACUCCUACGGGAGGCAGCAGUGGGGAAUAUUGCACAAUGGGCGGAAGCCUGAUGCAGCAACGCCGCGUGCGGGAUGACGGCCUUCGGGUUGUAAACCGCUUUCGCCUGUGACGAAGCGUGAGUGACGGUAAUGGGUAAAGAAGCACCGGCUAACUACGUGCCAGCAGCCGCGGUGAUACGUAGGGUGCGAGCGUUGUCCGGAUUUAUUGGGCGUAAAGGGCUCGUAGGUGGUUGAUCGCGUCGGAAGUGUAAUCUUGGGGCUUAACCCUGAGCGUGCUUUCGAUACGGGUUGACUUGAGGAAGGUAGGGGAGAAUGGAAUUCCUGGUGGAGCGGUGGAAUGCGCAGAUAUCAGGAGGAACACCAGUGGCGAAGGCGGUUCUCUGGGCCUUUCCUGACGCUGAGGAGCGAAAGCGUGGGGAGCGAACAGGCUUAGAUACCCUGGUAGUCCACGCUGUAAACGGUGGGUACUAGGUGUGGGGUCCAUUCCACGGGUUCCGUGCCGUAGCUAACGCUUUAAGUACCCCGCCUGGGGAGUACGGCCGCAAGGCUAAAACUCAAAGGAAUUGACGGGGCCCCGCACAAGCGGCGGAGCAUGCGGAUUAAUUCGAUGCAACGCGUAGAACCUUACCUGGGUUUGACAUGGAUCGGGAGUGCUCAGAGAUGGGUGUGCCUCUUUUGGGGUCGGUUCACAGGUGGUGCAUGGCUGUCGUCAGCUCGUGUCGUGAGAUGUUGGGUUAAGUCC
rnacentral:rRNA from 1 species